rnacentral:rRNA from 1 species
AGUAACGGCGAGUGAAGCGGCAACAGCUCAAAUUUGAAAUAUGACACGAGUGACCGAUGGGUAAUUUGUAGAGGAUGCUUUUGGUGAGGUACCUUCCGAGUUCCCUGGAACGGGACGCCAUAGAGGGUGAGAGCCCCGUCUGGUUGGAUACCGAUCCUCUGUAAAGCUCCUUCGACGAGGCGAGGGAGGUGGGA